rnacentral:lncRNA from 1 species
GAAAUUUUAAAAUAACAAUACAUUUCAGAUUUGAUCUUGGUCUAUUACAACACAUUUCCUUCUCAGUCAACGUGACUUUCACCUUCCUUUCACAUAGGUCUCUCAAGGGAGUAGAAAAUGCUGUUGAUAUUAAGACACCUAUGCUAUACAUUGAGCAAAUAACAAAAUAUUUAUACGUUUUCCAGCUUCCACUAUAGCAGAAAAACUACAGAGGAAAUGUGCUUCUUUAACUUGUGUGUCUUGAAAAAUUAAAAUAUACAAAAUACACUGCAGGAUCAGAACAGUUCAACUGGAUAAAUGUUAUCCUUCAUAAUCUGGACCUGAAAAUGCAGAUUUGAAUAGCUGAAGAUCUCCAGACAUGGAACUAAUACAAGAAGCGUUAGAAAAAUUCACGUUGCUCUAUAUAGAGAAGAAGAAAAUACUUGAAGUCAUAACAAGGAAUGGAAUAAGGUGCCGGAUCAGAGGCACUUAAGUCUUUCAACUCUGAAGAAAAGCUUGACUUUCUUUUGACUUAAUUACUCAGAAUUUUACCUUAUUGACUGGAGUUAAGAUUCUCUUACUGACCACUCUUAUCUAGUAAAUGCAUCAGAAUAAUAGCAAUAAUAAUGAAACAAAACUGACUAUGUCAUGUUAAGUUGAAUGAUAAGUCCUCGGCAGUAGAAUUAAAUCAUAAAUGUUUUUUUCUCAGCAAAUUAAAAAGCCAGGUUGAGAUAGUAGAUUCCUCUUCUAAACAAAACAUUUCAUAAAGGAAUGUUACCCCUCUGAUAUAAGAAUUCUUUAUUUAUGACUUUUAUCUAUACGAGCUACACCAGCAUACAGUCAGUGUGACAAAAAAUGCAUGCUUGAUUCUUAUGCAAAUAUUUCCAAAUUCAUUUCAAACUGUUAUUCAAUAAAAGAUGAGUAUCCUCUUAUUUUUAAUCUUCCUUCACCUUCAUUCUAAGUGUGUAAGUGGAAGACUUGUGUUGACUAGAAGACUGAUAAACAGAUUUAAGCAUAAUGACUUUUCAUUUCAAUUAGAAAAAUUACCUUCUUUAGCUGAUAAAAAUCUAAGAACUUCCAUAUUCAUUUCUAUGAGCUAGUUUGUUGCUGCUGAUUUUUUGUUCUUGUUUUCUUUUCUUCUAAAAAUAAAUAAAAAUAUUGAUGAUGUACAUUACAUGAUUAGUUUAAUGACAGCCUUAGAAAUUUAUCUGUACUUUUUAGAAAUAUAUAAUUAAGAUUUAAGGAAUACCAACGGUUCCAUUCUGUUUGUCAUUAGAUAUGCGUCAUUGUUGCUUAGUACCUUUGUUCUUUUGUGAUAAGAUCUGUUGAUUGGUGAAACAGUAUAGUGCCUAUACGGUUACAGAGUGAAGCUCUAUAACUGAAACGUUAUGCUCUAGUGGAAAGCAAAUUUCCAGACAAAAUCAGUAGUCAUGUGGAAAUGAAUUAAGAAGAGAAAAUUAAGUUAUUUGAACUGUAGGACAUUUUUUUUUCUUUCUUUAGUAAUGUAUAAGAAAAUAAAGAUGGACUAUUUUUCUUCCUAUGAAAGGAGAUGUUUCUGUUACUAAAUAAAGAAAAUUUUGUCAUUGCAAUAUUUGCUGACUUUUCGCUUCUUCCUCCAAAGUAGCUGAUGCUUAGGCACUUUCUCUUGAUGUGGUCUACUACACUUUCC